GGCAGAAUGGCCUAAUGGAAAGAUUUGGUUUGGGAAUCAGGAGACCUGGGUUCAAAUCCCAGCUCUGCCU
rnacentral:tRNA from 1 species